UUGUUUUUUCAAUUCAUGCCACUGACGGAACGCCACUUCCAUCAGCCCAAACUCUUAAAAUUUUGAAUUUCAAACUAUUUGCUUACUUUGUCAAAAUGACACAUCGGUGAUGUUGAACUUAUUCGGUGAUCUAUCUGAAGAGGAAGAGGACGAGGUCGAUUCCGAGCACGAGUCCAAUCCGCAGCCCAGUUUUGAUAUGUUUUCACCAGAGGAGGGUAUGUUGCACAGCUUCCCAAAAUGAAAUUCAUGAAAUUACCUGAUGAAUUUGCCGCGCAGCUGCAACAUUCUAGCAACAUUUCGUGAAUUUGAGAAGCAGCUGUGCAAGUUCAGUGGAUGGUGCGAUCUGGGCUGCUGAAAAUGCCACAUUGAAAGCUGAGAUGAGUGGAAAGAAGCUAAUGCACUCAUGGAACAACUUAAGCUCAACCCUCAGCUUCAGACGUUUCAGGCGUGGCUUUGGGAUUCUGCAACUGUGAGUAUACACUCUUUCCCGGGUUUAAGGACUAUCAAGGUGCUUAGGGUUUGCGUUCGGUGUUUGAAUUAAAUAACUUUGGGUUAAACCAUUCUGUAAUAUCAGUAGGUUUGUUUUAGGUAUCUUAUGGUUUUAGAAUUGCCUGUGUACAAAGGAUUAUUAUGGCAACGAGAUCAUGUCGGUCUGGGAAGCUCUUUUGAUGGUCGCUGUUGUUGGAGUAAUAUUAAAAAGAAAUAUUUAAAGAGGGCUGGAACCCAGUCAAAGCUGGGGGGCUAGGCCUUCACGCCCAUAUUAUAUU